rnacentral:misc_RNA from 1 species
GAUGAAGAACGUAGCGAAAUGCGAUAAGUAAUGUGAAUUGCAGAAUUCAGUGAAUCAUCGAAUCUUUGAACGCACCUUGCGCCCUUUGGCUAUUCCGAAGGGCAUGCCUGUUUGAGUAUCGUGAACACCUCAACUCUCAUGGUUUGCCAUGAUGAGCUUGGACUUUGGGGGUUUUGCUGGCCUUUGGUCGGCUCCUCUCAAACGGAUCAGCUUUCCAGUGUUUGGUGGCGUCACGGGUGUGAUAACUAUCUACGCCUGUGGUUUUCUGCCAGAUAACCUUCAGCGAUGGAGGUUCGCUGGGGCUCAUAAAUGUCUCUCUUCAGUGGAGACAGCUUUUUGGACGUUUGAUAUCAAAUCAGGUAGGACUACCCGCUGAACUUAAGCAUAUCAAUAAGCGGAGGA